GUGAAAAGCGGUGGUAUGUGUUGCAGUCUCAAGCCAGGAGGGAGAUUGCAGCACACAAACAGGAUUCUUCAAGCACAGGUGGAGGACCACCUGCUAAACAACUGUCACAGGUAGCGGAAACUGUAUUUAAUGUACUUGGACACUCAGAAAUAUCUGUCACUUGGCUGAAGGAAGGCACAGACAGCUCAAUGAUCCAGCUAAUGGGAAUACAACAAAGCAUGGAACCGUCAGAGGAACCGCGACCGUCAACAUCGCAGGUGUGCGACCCUCAGCGAGUGUAUCAGAUAAGCCAGCCUGCUGCAGCCACCUCAACACCAUCCCUGCUGGACAGAAAAUUGGAGAUCAAAAUUGAUACUCUCACACAGCACAAAAAAGU